rnacentral:misc_RNA from 1 species
GAUGAAGAACGUAGCGAAAUGCGAUAAGUAGUGUGAAUUGCAGAAUUCAGUGAAUCAUCGAAUCUUUGAACGCACAUUGCGCCCCUUGGUAUUCCAUGGGGCAUGCCUGUUCGAGCGUCAUUUGUACCCUCCAGCCCUGCUGGGUAUUGGGCGUUUUUUUCCGCUACGCGCGUGAACUCGCCUCAAAUGCAUUGGCAGCCCGCCGUCCCGUGUGGGAGCGCAGCACAUUUUGCGCUCUCCGCUGCUGACGGUGGCAUCCACAAGUCUACCAUUGUACGCUUGACCUCGGAUCAGGUAGGGAUACCCGCUGAACUUAAGCAUAUCAAUAAGCGGAGGA